GAUGUAGUAUGCAAAAUUUGUAAGCCAUGGGUUUAAAUCCAUUGAUCCAUGGUUAUGGUCCAUUGAACCAUUAGGCCAUCUUUAUGAGGAAAUUAGGCCUACCACCAUAAAAGACCUAAAUAUUCUCACUUGCACCACCCAGCCCACGUUCUUUCUUUUUUACGAUUAUCAUUUUCUUUCUUUCAGAUUUCUUAUUUUUGUUUUUCUUUUUUACGAUUGUCAACAUUUCUCAGCUCUCAGCUCAAUCGCCUCAAGAAAUCAGGUCUGGCCAUAAAUUAGAUCGCGCUGGUUUGAGCUCUUAGGUGGCCGGCCUACUGAAUCACGCACAUUUGCUGGAAAUUUGAAAGAAGAAAUUUGAAUUGGCUAAGAAGUUCAAGAACACAAUAAUCGUUAAUCAUCGGUGGAUAGAAGAUUGUGUAAAGCGACGGAAGCGUGUUCCAAAGCAUCCUUCUGCAAUUUUAGCUCAUAAAUUUUCAAGUUUGAUUAUAUAGUUUUUCUGGUAUUGAAUGUGCGGUCAAUUUUGAUUUGCUUAGUGUAGGUGAUUGUAGCAAUUUUAUUCACGUCCUAUCAUUCCAGGGGAGAAAAUUUAGUGGAAGUUCUUGGCUCUGUGAUGUGGUAAAAAUUAUAUGAGCUAUUUCUAUUUGAUUUUCUAGAGAGAAAUAGAAUAGUGUUAGAUCAUGAAGAAUUAUGAAGUUAAAUGGCACUGAUUUUGAAGACAGUGGUUGUGAUUUUAUCUUAUUAGGCUGAUAAGAAUUUUCUGA